AGAGUUUGAUCAUGGCUCAGAACGUACGCUGGCGGCACGCCUAACACAUGCAAGUCGAACGAAGUAGCAAUACUUAGUGGCAGACGGGUGAGUAACAUGUAGGUAUCUACCCUUUGGCCUGGAAUAACACGAGGAAACUUGUGCUAAUACCGGAUAAGUCUUUACGGAGAAAGCUUUAUGCACCAUUGGAUGAGCCUGCACUUGAUUAGUUAGUUGGUAGGGUAAUAGCCUACCAAGACUUUGAUCAAUAGCUGAUUUGAGAGGAUGAUCAGCCACAUUGGGACUGAGACACGGCCCAAACUCCUACGGGAGGCAGCAGUGGGGAAUCUUGCACAAUGGAGGAAACUCUGAUGCAGCGAUGCCGCGUGAGUGAAGAAGGCCUUUGGGUUGUAAAGCUCUUUCGUCGGGGAAGAAAAUGACUGUACCCGAAUAAGAAGGUCCGGCUAACUUCGUGCCAGCAGCCGCGGUAAUACGAAGGGACCUAGCGUAGUUCGGAAUUACUGGGCUUAAAGAGUUCGUAGGUGGUUGAAAAAGUUGGUGGUGAAAUCCCAGAGCUUAACUCUGGAACUGCCAUCAAAACUUUUCAGCUAGAGUUUGAUAGAGGAAAGCAGAAUUUCUAGUGUAGAGGUGAAAUUCGUAGAUAUUAGAAAGAAUACCAAUUGCGAAGGCAGCUUUCUGGAUCAUUACUGACACUGAGGAACGAAAGCAUGGGUAGCGAAGAGGAUUAGAUACCCUCGUAGUCCAUGCCGUAAACGAUGUGUGUUAGACGUUGGAAAUUUAUUUUCUGUGU
rnacentral:rRNA from 1 species